rfam:Triticum aestivum genome assembly, contig: Triticum_aestivum_CS42_TGACv1_scaffold_517046_6BS
CUACCACUCCCUCCGUCCAAAAAUACUUGUCAUUGAAAUGGAUGUAUCUAGAUGUAUUUUAGUUCUAGACACAUCUGUUUUGAUGACAAGUAAUUCCGGACGGAGAGAGUAUUAU